GCAAGUCGAGCGGAAACGAGUUAUCUGAACCUUCGGGGGGCGAUAAUGGCGUCGAGCGGCGGACGGGUGAGUAAUGCCUAGGAAAUUGCCCUGAUGUGGGGGAUAACCAUUGGAAACGAUGGCUAAUACCGCAUGAUGCCUACGGGCCAAAGAGGGGGACCUUCGGGCCUCUCGCGUCAGGAUAUGCCUAGGUGGGAUUAGCUAGUUGGUGAGGUAAGGGCUCACCAAGGCGACGAUCCCUAGCUGGUCUGAGAGGAUGAUCAGCCACACUGGAGCUGAGACACGGUCCAGACCCCUACGGGAGGCAGCAGUGGGGAAUAUUGCACAAUGGGCGCAAGCCUGAUGCAGCCAUGCCGCGUGUGUGAAGAAGGCCUUCGGGUUGUAAAGCACUUUCAGUCGUGAGGAAGGUGGUAGUGUUAAUAGCACUAUCAUUUGACGUUAGCGACAGAAGAAGCACCGGCUAACUCCGUGCCAGCAGCCGCGGUAAUACGGAGGGUGCGAGCGUUAAUCGGAAUUACUGGGCGUAAAGCGCAUGCAGGUGGUUUGUUAAGUCAGAUGUGAAAGCCCGGGGCUCAACCUCGGAAUUGCAUUUGAAACUGGCAGACUAGAGUACUGUAGAGGGGGGUAGAAUUUCAGGUGUAGCGGUGAAAUGCGUAGAGAUCUGAAGGAAUACCGGUGGCGAAGGCGGCCCCCUGGACAGAUACUGACACUCAGAUGCGAAAGCGUGGGGAGCAAACAGGAUUAGAUACCCUGGUAGUCCACGCCGUAAACGAUGUCUACUUGGAGGUUGUGGCCUUGAGCCGUGGCUUUCGGAGCUAACGCGUUAAGUAGACCGCCUGGGGAGUACGGUCGCAAGAUUAAAACUCAAAUGAAUUGACGGGGGCCCGCACAAGCGGUGGAGCAUGUGGUUUAAUUCGAUGCAACGCGAAGAACCUUACCUACUCCUGACAUCCAGAGAACUUUCCAGAGAUGGAUUGGUGCCUUCGGGAGCUCUGAGACAGGUGCUGCAUGGCUGUCGUCAGCUCGUGUUGUGAAAUGUUGGGUUAAGUCCCGCAACGAGCGCAACCCUUAUCCUUGUUUGCCAGCGAGUAAUGUCGGGAACUCCAGGGAGACUGCCGGUGAUAAACCGGAGGAAGGUGGGGACGACGUCAAGUCAUCAUGGCCCUUACGAGUAGGGCUACACACGUGCUACAAUGGCGCAUACAGAGGGCGGCCAACUUGCGAAAGUGAGCGAAUCCCAAAAAGUGCGUCGUAGUCCGGAUUGGAGUCUGCAACUCGACUCCAUGAAGUCGGAAUCGCUAGUAAUCGUGGAUCAGAAUGCCACGGUGAAUACGUUCCCGGGCCUUGUACACACCGCCCGUCACACCAUGGGAGUGGGCUGCAAAAGAAGUAGGUAGUUUAA
rnacentral:rRNA from 1 species